UGCAAGUCGAGCGGUAAGGCCCUUCGGGGUACACGAGCGGCGAACGGGUGAGUAACACGUGGGUGAUCUGCCUUGCACUUCGGGAUAAGCCUGGGAAACUGGGUCUAAUACCGGAUAUGACCUCGGAAUGCAUGUUCUGGGGUGGAAAGAUUUAUCGGUGCGAGAUGGGCCCGCGGCCUAUCAGCUUGUUGGUGAGGUAACGGCUCACCAAGGCGACGACGGGUAGCCGACCUGAGAGGGUGACCGGCCACACUGGGACUGAGACACGGCCCAGACUCUUACGGGAGGCGGCAGUGGGGAAUAUUGCACAAUGGGCGCAAGCCUGGUGCAGCGACGCCGCGUGCGGGAUGACGGCCUUCGGGUUGUAAACCGCUUUUGACAGGGACGAAGCGCAAGUGACUGUACCUGUAGAAUAAGGACCGGCCAACUACGUGCCAGCAGCCGCGGUAAUACGUAGGGUCCGAGCGUUGUCCGGAAUCACUGGGCGUAAAGAGCUUGUAGGCGGUUCGUCGCAUCGUUUGUGAAAACUUGGGGCUCAACCUUAAGCUUGCAGGCGAUACGGGCGGACUAGAGUACUUCAGGGGAGACUGGAAUUCCUGGUGUAGCGGUGAAAUGCGCAGAUAUCAGGAGGAACACCGGUGGCGAAGGCGGGUCUCUGGGAAGUAACUGACGCUGAAAGUGAAAGCAUGUGUAGCAAACAGGAUUAGAUACCCCUGGUAGUCCAUUGCCGUAAUUGG
rnacentral:rRNA from 1 species